AUUGAACGCUGGCGGCAUGCCUUACACAUGCAAGUCGAACGGCAGCAUGGGUGCUUGCACCUGAUGGCGAGUGGCGAACGGGUGAGUAAUGCAUCGGAACGUGCCCUGAAGUGGGGGAUAACGUAGCGAAAGUUACGCUAAUACCGCAUAUUCUGUGAGCAGGAAAGCAGGGGACCGCAAGGCCUUGUGCUUUAGGCGCGGCCGAUGUCGGAUUAGCUAGUUGGUGAGGUAGGCUCACCAAGGCGACGAUCCGUAGCGGGUCUGAGAGGAUGAUCCGCCACACUGGGACUGAGACACGGCCCAGACUCCUACGGGAGGCAGCAGUGGGGAAUUUUGGACAAUGGGCGCAAGCCUGAUCCAGCCAUGCCGCGUGAGUGAAGAAGGCCUUCGGGUUGUAAAGCUCUUUCGGUUGGGAAGAAAUUGCACUGGUUAAUACCUAGUGUAGAUGACGGUACCAGCAUAAGAAGCACCGGCUAACUACGUGCCAGCAGCCGCAGUAA
rnacentral:rRNA from 1 species